GACGGAGGGGGCUAGCGUUGUUCGGGAUGACUGGGUGUAAAGGGCGCGUAGGCGGUGUCUUAAGUGAGGCGUGAAAGCCCUGGGCUUAACCCAGGAGGUGCGUUUCAUACUGGAAUGCUAGAGUGCGAGAGAGGAAAGUGGAAUUCCUAGUGUAGAGGUGAAAUUCGUAGAUAUUAGGAAGAACACCAGAGGCGAAGGCGGCUUUCUGGCUCGCAACUGACGCUGAGGCGCGAAAGCGUGGGGAGCAAACAGG
rnacentral:rRNA from 1 species